GCCAAGGUGAGCUCUUUCCCCAUGAUCUUAUAUAGCACAAAAUUAGUCUCAAAUUUGCCUCUACUAAUCCCACAAGCAAGAAAUUCCCAUAAUCCCAUUGUUCAUGAAAAAAAUCUAUACAAAAGAAGAACCUCUGUUGUCAAAUUUGAGUCCCAAUUCUUGCACCAGCCUUUGGUUUCAAGAAGGUUUUCUUCAAGGCACAAAGGCUUCAAUGCUAAAAGCAACUUGGAGUCAGGAGAGGAAGAUAAGCUAGCUCUGGAAACAGUCCUCAAGCUUUACACUGCAAUCAAAAACAAAAAUAUCCAUGAAUUAUCCGAUAUAGUUGGUGAUGAAUGCAGAUGUGUUUGCAAUUUCUUCUCAUUUUUCCAAUCCUUCAAUGGAAAACAGCAAGUGUUGGACUUCUUCAAUUAUGUGAUAAGAAUCUUGGGAAAUAACAUUGAAUUUGCAGUGCAACCAACGUUACAUAACGGGAUGAAUGUUGGUGUUUCAUGGAAACUACGUAUAUACUCUGCCUUCACUUGCUUAAUUAGAAUACUUCAUUUUAAGUUCUUGGCAAGUUAUUCAAGUUAAUUACGAUCUUUUCUCUUGUUUUUCUUGGUUGAUUUAUUUGCAGAAUGGACCAAGACCCAUAUGCCUUUGGGAAAGGGAUUUAGUUUCUACAUUUGCCAAAUUUACCAGGGGAAGGUGUUAAUAAGGAAUGUAGAGAUGUUCAUGGAACCUCUCCUUCACAUUGAGCCUUUUAGACUGAAAAUAAUGGGAUAUGUGAUGAACACAGUGGAGAAGAUGAGCUACUAUAACCUGUCCAAAGAUCAGAUGAAGAAAGCCAUCCUCAUUCUAUUUUUGAUGGUCAUCAUUUUGCUCUUUCUGAAGCCAGGGUUUUAUUAGGUCAUACAAUUGAAGUUUCUCGUGUAUGAAAAACCUUGCCUAGAUCAAGUGUCAUUGGCUCGGUCUAUUAGACCAAAUCUAGAUAAGGAAAAACCCAAACGUAUAUUAACACAUUAUCCAAGUCAGCUUUGGGCUUCAUCAACAUUUCUCACAGUCCACCUUCAAUCAGGGGAUUUGUAAUCUUGCGAACUAUUGCCUUCCCAUGCACAACAAUAAUUACGC
rnacentral:misc_RNA from 1 species